ACAUAAUUUAUAUAAUUAAAAAAUAUAUUAAAAAUGAGCAAUACCAACGGAAAUCCUCCACGCAAAAAUUAUACUGAGAGAGAGAGAGAAAUGUUUGCUGUUGGAAAUAAUUGGAAAAUACAAGCAUAUUAAAUUGAAAACAAAUAAUGUACCAAUGCUAUGUCCACCAACCAAAACAAUGAAACCUGGGAAAAAAUAGCGCUGAAUUUCCCAGAACUCCCAAGCAGCUGAACACUGCAUAUAUAAACUUAAAAAGGGUCACUAGCCAAAAAGUAGCAGAGGAAAAUAUUCAAAAAUAUAAUGAGCAGAAGGUUUUGGACCAGUUGAAGAGAGACCAAACUGCGGACAAAAAAGACAUACUUGCAACAGGUGGUGGCACAUUUAGGCCUCGUCUCACAGAUGUAGGGGCACAAAUGUUGAGUUUGAUUGGCAAUCAAAUCCAACCUUUACCCAACAGUUGUGACAGUGCAUCUGGUUUCUUCACAUCUGUUGCACAAGACAGUCAAGUGGAAGUAGAUUACCUACAAUUGGAAGACACAUAGCAGACGUCCAAUGUACCCUCUACUUCCACUGUGCUGCUCAGUACACCCACGACAACUGCUGUCCUGCCCAAGAAGACAGCCAAGAUGUCUCAGGCUCGUUCAAAAAAUAAAAAAGUAAAAGAUGUAGGGAGCGAAACCCUUAAUGUAUCUUUUACAAAAAAAAUUGAAACAGCAAGACUAGAAAAAAGAAGUAAGAUAGUAUUUUUCAACAAGAAAAAAAGAAAUUUUAGAAGUAGAGCUUCAAAUAAAAAAAUUCGAUCUCAAUAAAUUAUUCGGUAAUAGUGGUUAGGUAUGUACCUAAUAAAGUAAUUUUAAAU